CCAAUAGCGUAUAUUAAAGUUGUUGCAGUUAAAAAGCUCGUAGUUGAAUUUCGGGGUUAGUAGGUUGGUCAUGCCUCUGGUAUGUACUGGGUUCACUGAUUCCUCCUUCCUGAUGAGCCGUAAUGCCAUUAAUUUGGUGUUGCGGGGAAUCUGGACUGUUACUUUGAAAAAAUUAGAGGGUUUAAAGCAAGCUAACGCUUGAAUACAUUAGCAUGGAAUAAUGAAAUAGGACGUUCGAUCCUAUUUUGUUGGUUUCUAGGAUUGACGUAAUGAUUAAUAGGGAUAGUUGUGGGCAUUAGUAUUCAAUUGUCAGAGGUGAAAUUCUUGGAUUUAUUGAAGACUAACUACUUCGAAAGCAUUUGCCAAGGAUGUUUUCAUUAAUCAAGAACGAAAGUUAGGGGAUCGAAGACGAUCAUAUACCGUCGUAGUCUUAACCAUAAACUAUGCCGACUAGGGAUCGGAUGAUGUUAAUUUUUUAAUGACUCAUUCGGCGCCUUACG
rnacentral:rRNA from 1 species